GUGAUAAUUUUUAUAUCAUGUCACUUGUAUUUGACUGUUAAAUACAUUUAAAUACUUUCUAUAUAGUCCAAUUGAUACUGAUUAAUUGAAAUGCCUAAAUUCUUCAUAGAAUGGUGAUGUACCCAGUGCAAUCCCUGAAAAGUAGGACUUAAUCAUAGAAACCAAAAAAGCCUAUUCCUCAUAAUAUCAGUUCAUCUUGCAUUAUCAUUGUGCAACUGUCUCUGGGCUAAAUUGACCUUCAAAAUCUCAUAGUGGUGCUAUGAUGAAAUCUAAGGGUCCCCCAAUACCCAUACUGUGAAUUUCAAAACUACUCCACCCUAUUCAGACCAUUCUUUAGAAGAUGGGAUUUAGCUAUUUCCUGAUCAAUAACAAUUGAGAUACUUGUAAUAACAGAAUCAGGUCUUGGAAACUACAAUCUCCACCCUACUCAAUGUAACAAGAUCAGCAAGGGCUACAGCAAAACUCAAGAUUUAAUUAUUUGAGAAUAUGGCCUUCAACAGACAUGUGCAAAAAGGACAGACCUCUGGGCAGUCCUGGGUGAAGCUAGAGCCACCAUUGGCACAUGUCAGACCCAGGAAGUGAGGUAGAGGUCAGCUCAGGAGUUCUGGGGACUUCCUGUGUGGAAGGAAAAAGGUUGUUGGAGCCUGGUGCUUGAGGUGGAGGAGCCCACAGACUGUUUCUCCAUCUUGGUCACUUGACAUAAUGGAGGUUCCACUGAGAUCUGAAGUCCCGGCUGCCUGAGCCCUCCUGCUAACCAGGACCCCGAGACUUGAGGUACCUCACACAAUCCGUUUGAGAUUGGGUCAGGAGUCCAGUUAGCAAGGGCCAGGGGAAGUGGCUCUUGGAGGAUCAGAGGGAACUGGCUUAUAGAAGGGAAGGAGAAAGUGAAGAGGAAGAAAUUAAAGGAAAAAUCAGGAGGUAAUAACCAUAGAACAAAUUUGAAAGAGACCGGAGAGGAGGAUCACAAGAUCCUAAGUUAAAAGGAGAAAGGGAAACUAUUUCAGGAAAGACAUAACUGGGUGAAGAGAGAGGUUUGAAGUGGAGAAUAGAGAAUUGAAAAAAAAGUUUUUAACAGAUGACAUCUAUCUUCAUUAAAGCUUGACAAUUCCUUGAGAGUUGAA
rnacentral:lncRNA from 1 species